GACGAACGCUGGCGGCGUGCUUAACACAUGCAAGUCGAGCGAGGCCCCUCCUUCGGGAGGGUGUCCUAGCGGCGAACGGGUGAGUAACACGUGGGCAACCUGCCCUCAGCUCUGGGAUAACUCCGGGAAACCGGGGCUAAUACCGGAUACGACCUCCACGGGCAUCUGCGGAGGUGGAAAGUUUUUCGGCUGAGGAUGGGCCCGCGGCCUAUCAGCUAGUUGGUGGGGUAGUGGCCCACCAAGGCGACGACGGGUAGCCGGCCUGAGAGGGCGACCGGCCCAACUAGGACUGAGACACGGCCCAGACUCCUACGGGAGGCAGCAGUGGGGAAUGUUGCGCAAUGGGCGGAAGCCUGACGCAGCGACGCCGCGUGGGGGACGAAGGCCUUCGGGUUGUAAACCUCUUUCAGCAGGGACGAAGCGAAAGUGACGGUACCUGCAGAAGAAGCCCCGGCCAACUACGUG
rnacentral:rRNA from 1 species